rnacentral:rRNA from 1 species
UACGGGGGGGGUAAGCGUUGUUCGGAAUUACUGGGCGUAAAGGGCUCGUAGGCGGCCAACUAAGUCAUACGUGAAAUCCCUCAGCUUAACUGGGGAACUGCGUGUGAUACUGGAUGGCUUGGAUUUGGGAGAGGGAUGCGGAAUUCCAGGUGUAGCAGUGAAAUGCGUAGAUAUCUGGAGGAACACCGGUGGCGAAGGCGGCAUCCUGGACCAAUAUUGACGCUGAGGAGCGAAAGCUAGGGGAGCAAACGGG